CAUGUAUCGAACUCAAUAUAUUGUUUUCAUUCAUUUCAUUUUCUUCAGAGUCGGAGAUGGAGUGGACCUGGACUCUUGAGUCAUAUUCAAGAAAAAGACCUCUAGUCUAAGACUUCUCUCCCAUCGUGUCUUCAACGUCCUGGACUAACUUCUCAUCCUACCUUGGCCCCGAUGAAAGGGUUUGGAUCUGCAUAAUGUAAUCUGAUUCAAGGUGCACUGCAAGAUCCUACCGUGCUAAGUGGCCCUUUGAUGUGAUCUUCUUAGCAAAGUUUGAACACCGACAUUACAAUAAGGGUUGCAAAGUAAAGAUCUGUGGCAUCUACAUGAAACGCAAACUGGCAUCUGGACUUUCAUACCUAAGGUCUUGUCCAUCUCUUCAAGUUGAAAAGACUGCAGAGCUUGAAUCCCCUGCAACAUUAUUCUUCAUAUGAAACAUCAGCCAGCCUAAAGAUACAAGCUCCCUUUCCAGCUCUAAGCAAGAGGGACCACAAUGCUAAACAGAUCGUGGACUGGUCGCUUUCUCAUUUAACUACGACUUCCAGUGAAACAGAUUAUGAAACUAACUCGUCUGAAGAUAUUGAAAGUGCUCCAGUCCGUGUACUAACAUUUGACAUUGAGUAUGAGAAUAUUGGUAAGAUUUCAUCUAGUAAUAUUUUAAAGGAACUCUCAAAACUUUCUUGC